CAACCUACCUAUCAGGAGGGGAACUAACCCGGCGAAAGUCGGACUAAUACCGCAUAAAACAGGGGCACCGCAUGGUGAUAUUUGUUAAAGAAAUUCGCUGAUAGAUGGGCAUGCGUUCCAUUAGGUAGUUGGUGAGGUAACGGCUCACCAAGCCGACGAUGGAUAGGGAACUGAGAGGUUCGGUCCCCCACACUGGUACUGAGACACGGACCAGACUCCUACGGGAGGCAGCAGUGAGGAAUAUUGGUCAAUGGGCGGGAGCCUGAACCAGCCAAGUCGCGUAGAAGGAAGAAGGAUCUAUGGUUACGUAACUUCUUUGCAGGGGAAUAAAGUGCAGGACGUGUCCUGUUUUGUAUGUACCCUGAGAAUAAGGAUCGGCUAACUCCGUGCCAGCCGCCGC
rnacentral:rRNA from 1 species